UGACCACUUCUUCAUGAGGUUAAGGCCAUACGGACAGCCGGGUCAAAUGCCGA
rnacentral:sRNA from 1 species